rnacentral:rRNA from 1 species
UUCUCCUACGGGGGGCAGCAGUGGGGAAUAUUGGGCAAUGGAGGAAACUCUGACCCAGCAAUGCCGCGUGAAUGAAGAAGGUCUUCGGAUUGUAAAGUUCUUUAGUCAGGGAAGAAGUCAAUGACGGUACCUGAAGAAUAAGCUCCGGCUAACUACGUGCCAGCAGCCGCGGUAAUACGUAGGGGGCAAGCGUUAUCCGGAUUUACUGGGUGUAAAGGGAGCGUAGACGGCAGCACAAGUCUGGAGUGAGAU